CAGUAGGGAAUCUUCCACAAUGGGCGAAAGCCUGAUGGAGCAACGCCGCGUGAGUGAAGAAGGCCUUCGGGUUGUAAAGCUCUGUCCUUGGGGAAGAACCGUAGUGAUAGCAAAUGCUCACUACCUGACGGUACCCAUGGAGGAAGCACUGGCUAACUACGUGCCAGCAGCCGCGGUAAUACGUAGAGUGCAAGCGUUGUCCGGAAUCAUUGGGCGUAAAGGGUACGCAGGCGGAUAUGCAAGUCAAAUGUGAAAACUACCGGCUUAACUGGUAGACUGCGUUUGAAACUGUAUAUCUUGAGUGCAGCAGAGGAGAGCGGAAUUUCUAGUGUAGUGGUGGAAUACGUAGAUAUUAGAAAGAACACCAGUGGCGAAGGCGGCUCUCUGGGCUGACACUGACGCUCAGGUACGAAAGCUGGAGGAGCGAACGGGAUUAGAUACCCCGGUAGUUCCAGCUGUAAACGAUGGACACUAGGUGUUGGGGGUUCGAUUCCCUCAGUGCCGUAGUUAACGCAGUAAGUGUCCCGCCUGGGGAUUACGGUCGCAAGACUGAAACUCAAAGGAAUUGACGG
rnacentral:rRNA from 1 species